rnacentral:rRNA from 1 species
AUGUUCAUGCUGAUGCGCCGGGCUGUGGAUUUAAAAAUUAAUGACUUGCUGAUAUAUACAGACUGCAGCCAUUGUGAUCGAGUUGUGAGGGAAGUGGAAAUAGUGCAGCCCAAGGAUAAGCACGCAGAAUUGUCCGUGGCGGUGCUUGGCUUGAAGGCGAAGUUCGAUAAUGUCUUUUGUCAGUUAGAACCAAGGGAGAAGCUGCUGUUCCCUGAUUCUCUCAUCAGUCUCUGGAGGAACUCAUCCUCACCACAUGCAAAUAUAUUUGAAGGUUUAUUGGGCAUAUGGUCACCCCAUUUGCUGGGACUGCCGGUUUUCCGGAUCCAUCAAACAAGAAAAGCUGCUAAUGCUUUCAUUGCUAAAAAAAAUGCUGGAGGAAGUCUGGGAAACCUUGUUCUGCACCAUGCAUAUAAAGUCAAUGUGAAGGAAGAAUCAAGAAAAAUGGAUGCUGUGCGAAAUGUAGUUAUGGCGAUGCGCCCCAAAAGCAUAGAGGUGUUGGUGAGAACUGAAAAUGAAGCCCAAGCAGUGGGAGAGGAGUUGAGCAAGCUGUUCAAACAAAUGCUUGUUAAAUAUGAGAAGCGCGCAGUUGGUGAAGGCUAUGAGGUAGCAGCAAGGAAGGGCAUUGUCAUCUCUGGUAGAGAGAGGAAACUGAGAAUUAUCUAUCACUCAUCAAUGGAGGAUGUGACCACAAUCAAGGCGGCUAAUACACUAAGUGUGAAGCUCUUGAGUUUGGAGGAUGAUGAUGAGAACAUUACAGCACUACGGCCGGAGUGUUUCCUUUUCUUCAAUUGA